GGGCCGCUAGCUCAUCAGGCAGAGCAAGGGCCUUUUAAGCCCUGGGUGCUGGGUUCGAGUCCCAGGUGGCCCA
rnacentral:tRNA from 1 species